CCUACGGGUGGCAGCAGUGGGGGAUAUUGCACAAUGGGGGAAACCCUGAUGCAGCGACGCCGCGUGUGGGAAGACGGUCCUCUGGAUUGUAAACCACUUUCCCCAGGGCCGAGAAUGACGGUAUCUGGGGAGGAAACGCCGGCUAACUACGCGUCAGCAGCGGCGGUAAUACGUAGGGAGCGAGCGUUGUCCGGAAUUACUGGGUGAAAAGGGAGCGUAGGCGGGGAUGCAAGUAGAGUGUAAAAACUACCGGCUCAACUGGUAGUCGCACUCAAAACUGCAGCUCUUGAGUGAAGUAGAGGCAGGCGGAAUUCCUAGUGUAGCGGUGAAAUGCGUAGAUAUUAGGAGGAACACCAGUGGCGAAGGCGGACUGCUGGGCUUUUACUGACGCUGAGGCUCGAAAGUGUGGGGAGCAAACAGGAUUAGAUACCCCUGUAGUC
rnacentral:rRNA from 1 species